GCCAACCUACGGGACGCAGCAGUGAGGAAUAUUGGUCAAUGGACGCAAGUCUGAACCAGCCAUGCCGCGUGCAGGAUGACGGCUCUAUGAGUUGUAAACUGCUUUUGUACGAGGGUAAACCCCGAUACGUGUAUCGGGUUGAAAGUAUCGUACGAAUAAGGAUCGGCUAACUCCGUGCCAGCAGCCGCGGUAAUACGGAGGAUCCGAGCGUUAUCCGGAUUUAUUGGGUUUAAAGGGUGCGUAGGCGGUUUGAUAAGUUAGAAGUGAAAUACCCAGAGCUUAACUCGGGUGCUGCUUCUAAGACU
rnacentral:rRNA from 1 species